rnacentral:rRNA from 1 species
AAUAUUGGACAAUGGGCGAAAGCCUGAUCCAGCCAUGCCGCGUGAGUGAUGAAGGCCCUAGGGUUGUAAAGCUCUUUCACCGGGAAAGAUAAUGACGGUACCCGGAGAAGAAGCCCCGGCUAACUUCGUGCCAGCAGCCGCGGUAAUACGAAGGGGGCUAGCGUUGUUCGGAAUUACUGGGCGUAAAGCGCACGUAGGCGGACUAUUAAGUCAGGGGUGAAAUCCCGGGGCUCAACCCCGGAACUGCCUUUGAUACUGGUAGUCUAGAGUUCGAGAGAGGUGAGUGGAAUUCCGAGUGUAGAGGUGAAAUUCGUAGAUAUUCGGAGGAACACCAGUGGCGAAGGCGGCUCACUGGCUCGAUACUGACGCUGAGGUGCGAAAGCGUGGGGAGCAAAC